rnacentral:tRNA from 1 species
GGAAGGGUGGCCGAGUUGGUUAUGGCGCCAGGUUAAGGUUAACUUAACAUCGCUUCCUGGUGGGGCAGCCCGCGCGAGUUCGAGUCUCGUCCCUUUCA